rnacentral:tRNA from 1 species
CGCGGCCCGUGGCGGGCUGGCCAACAUGGCCGGUUCGGUGCUGGCCGGCGGCGCCGGGGUGAUCGUCACCUGGGUCGUGGCC